CAGCAGCUGUUCCUUCCCUUUCCCCCAACAUGUAUUUCCCCAGAUGCCAUUCUACAUGCUCACACUUAAGAGAUAAGCCUCUCAGUAGGAAGAUUCGUAACCACAGAAAGUUGAAAAGAGAAACCUCUUAAAUGCUGGUUUAUUAAGAAGAAUGAAGGCAGAUGAGACUGCGGCCAAAGAUCUCUGCGCACCUUCCUCACACUC
rnacentral:lncRNA from 1 species